rnacentral:rRNA from 1 species
CCUACGGGAGGCAGCAGUGAGGAAUAUUGGUCAAUGGGCGGGAGGCUGAACCAGCCAAGUCGCGUGAGGGACGACGGUCCUAUGGAUUGUAAACUUCUUUUGUCGGGGAAUAAAGGUGUCCACGUGUGGGUGUUUGCGUGUACCCGAUGAAAAAGCAUCGGCUAACUCCGUGCCAGCAGCCGCGGUACUACGGAGGAUGCGAGCGUUAUCCGGAUUUAUUGGGUUUAAGGGGUGCGUAGGUGGACUGUAAAGUCAGCGGUAAAGAUGCGGGGCUCAACGGCGAACUGCCGUUGAAACUGGCAGUCUUGAGUGUGCGAGAGGUAGGCGGAAUGCGUGGUGUAGCGGUGAAAUGCAUAGAUAUCACGCAGAACUCCGAUUGCGAAGGCAGCAUACCGGCGCCCAACUGACGCUGAGGCACGAAAGCGUGGGUAUCAAACAGGAUUAGAUACCCUAGUAGUC